AACAGGAUGCAAAACGAAACUCAACUAGCCGAUACUGACGUUUGCGUUAUCAAACCAGAAGAAUAAAGUGUUACUUGUAGUUUCCAGGCUGCUUUUGGAUCUGAAUGUCCACAAAAUGACUGCAUAAGGGACUGCACAAUUUACACCACUGAUGGCAAAAUUGACCUACUAAUAGGAUAAAAGGAAUCUGCUUUCACAUCUCCAAAUAACACCAACACGCAAAACCUUCAACAAAUAACUACAUCUCUAACUGCAUCAGUUUCCUAUCGUGACCAGCACAACCAACAGGCCUGUUACUUGAGUAAUUUGUUUGUGCCCAGAUGAGAGGAAGAUGCAAACAGAAGAGGGAAAAUGCAGAGAUCUGAUAUGCUACUGCUGAAACAACUCAUGAUAAACUUGCAUUCUACAAAUGGUCCAAGUAGGCCCCCAAAUAUCUAUCAAUCUGCUAUGGCUAAGCAAUAAAGCAUGGAAAUCAAACAAGCUGUUCCUCAAGUAGAGCAGCUUAAGCAAAGCUACACUAAGAAAAAUGCCAGGUCAGAUCCAGAAUUCCUGCUGAAGCUGAGGUUCAGGCAGAAGCUGCUAUGAUGAAGAGGAACAUCAAUUCAUCAGGGCGCAAGAAUGUAAGAUUCCCUCUGGAAAAGUUUAGCAGACUAAAUAUGAGUCUUAGGAGUAAAGGUGAUGUGGAAGAGCACAAUGGGAGCCCUCUCUGAAGCACAAAGGUGCAGAUUGUAGUGGAAGAGUAUCAAAAGCUGAAAGAAGUAAGGAAAACAGAAAAAGAGCAAGCUGACCACCAAAAAUGGCAUUGUAAGAGCUAUGGCCCCUAGAACUGGAAAUUGUUCUGAGAACAUUUCUUUACCAGUUUUGCUUUGUGAUUGAAAGCUUUUCUCUUAGAAGACAGUUUCCUAGAGGAAACAGCUGUAAUUUGUUGUAUCCAGCUCUUGAAACUUUUAUAACCAUUUUCCUGUUAGACAAUAUAAAGUCAGUGAUAAAUAAAAAGCUCCUGCAAGGCAAGGGAAUGAGGGAGAUAAGAGAGAAAAGAUGAUUUCUGCCUGGUUAUUUUUCAAAUGCCUGUUGGGAAUGUGCAGGUCUUUUUCAAGGGCUGAGAAUAGGAAUCUUGAAGACACUGCCAAUUGAGAGGAAAGAAGCUGAUUUCACAUUCUGAGAUGCACUGGAAGAGAGUGACCACAAGCAGGCAUUAGCAUGCAUACCAGCUAUCUGGAUAAAUUUGGGGAAACACUGAAGUUGACAAUCAGAAGCUGAAGAGGUACAGUGUUAGAUGCCAGAAUGAGAGCUGAUCCUACUUCUGCUUUCCUUUAUAAUCCCAUGGAAAUCCACAUAGAAAUUUAUAGCAAACUUCCACUGAAAUGGUGUGAGAGAAUUAACAUGGUAGAUUCUGACAUCCUUGGGUGACAUCCUGGAGAGUGACUAUAUACUCUGUACUUACUUUGAUGAGGACAGACAUUCUGCAGAUUUCCACCCUCCUUCCUUUUACAAACAUAUGUUUACUGUUACACAAAAAAUGCUGACAACAAAAUUUGCAAACGGAUACUACUGCUUCAGAAGUGUUAGACAAAAUCCAACAACAUCUCCUAUGGUCUUCUGUCUGUAGAACUUACUGUCUUAUAUCCAGUGUACUUGUGUACCUGUUAUGUUCUGUGCAUAAUUACUUGAAGCAGUCAUGCUUCCUCAAACCAAAACACAUUUAAUUUUAAG